ensembl:lncRNA
AUUGCUGGAGCUCCCCUGUGUCCCUGAGGCCUUCUGAAGGAAAUCUUGGGGUCACAUUGGCACUUAUAAGGCUACAAAUCCCCAUUUCAUCUUCUUUCCAUCUGCAGCUCCAUGUCACGGUGUCUGUGAGUUAUUACAGAUGCUAAGCACCGAGUGCUUCCUGACAGCUCAACACUUCAGCCCUCCUGGCCAUCAAAAUCACAACGUUGCUUCUGACUGAGCUUAAUCAUCUCGUAAGAAAUGAUGGAGACAAAGGAGGAAAAGAAAGAACGAAAGAGAAGCAUAAAAACCACUCACGUAGCAGCACACCUCUGCUUCUCCCCUUCUCCUUUCAUCUCUUGGCUGAUCCGUUUUGAUCGCUCUGAGCCUUUGUUGGAGUUUCUCUCAAUCCCAUUCGCUGGGAUUCCAUUGAAAUCAGGGCCCACUCGUGUUGCAGCUGCUGGUGGGGAGGAGGGAUGCUGUGCUCUGCCCCAAGGCAGUGCAAAAUCUGCUCCAUGCAUCAAAUGCAUUCAUUUUUGCCAGAAAAAUCUGCUCCAGGAGGAGGGAUUCAGCAGAUCGAGCAAUUGUUUUUGCCCUUUAUGUGUUGGUCUGGUGUUUCUAAUGCAGAUGCAUCUUUGCUUCCUUUUGGGCUUUUUCCCCCUCCUCCUCCUAAAUAAUAGCAUGGUUGCAUGCAACCAAAUGUAAAGGAAAGCUCAGACUUACAUACGAGGUCUUCGUCUCAAACAUCUCCUCAACCACUUUCCAACACUGAGUGUGAAAAAGCAAACUACCAAAAGCCACCAUUUUGGACUUGUCCGGACAGACUGACAUCCUUCUGUCCCAAACUUUUGUUGCAGGUGUGUUCUGUUUCUCACCGAUUUAUCCUAAUUGUUAUGAUCAGCCCUUCUGCCAAAAUGAUGCCAAAACCUCAAUUUCCCUGUGGAAAAUUAACAAACCACCCUCAUGGCUCAUGCAGCUUGUUUAUUUAACUGCAGCAGACGUUGCCUGCAGCUGCUAAACGAGAUGUAAUGAAAGCUUGGGGUCCUCUCCCAGGCACUGGCUUUGCUGUGCCCCGGGUGUAGGGGUGACUGUGGUUGGAUGGAUGGCAGUUGAGUGCAUUGCAU